AGAGUUUGAUCAUGGCUCAGAUUGAACGCUGGCGGCAGGCUUAACACAUGCAAGUCGAGCGGAAACGAUGGGAGCUUGCUCCCAGGCGUCGAGCGGCGGACGGGUGAGUAAUACUUAGGAAUCUGCCCAGUAGUGGGGGAUAGCUCGGGGAAACUCGAAUUAAUACCGCAUACACCCUACGGGGAAAAGGGGGCGCUUGCGCUCUCGCUAUUGGAUGAGCCUAAGUCGGAUUAGCUAGUUGGUGGGGUAAAGGCCUACCAAGGCGACGAUCUGUAGCUGGUCUGAGAGGAUGAUCAGCCACACCGGGACUGAGACACGGCCCGGACUCCUACGGGAGGCAGCAGUGGGGAAUAUUGGACAAUGGGGGCAACCCUGAUCCAGCCAUGCCGCGUGUGUGAAGAAGGCCUUUUGGUUGUAAAGCACUUUAAGCAGUGAAGAAGACUCUAUGGUUAAUACCCAUAGACGAUGACAUUAGCUGCAGAAUAAGCACCGGCUAACUCUGUGCCAGCAGCCGCGGUAAUACAGAGGGUGCAAGCGUUAAUCGGAAUUACUGGGCGUAAAGCGAGCGUAGGUGGCUUGAUAAGUCAGAUGUGAAAUCCCCGGGCUUAACCUGGGAACUGCAUCUGAUACUGUUAGGCUAGAGUAGGUGAGAGGGAGGUAGAAUUUCAGGUGUAGCGGUGAAAUGCGUAGAGAUCUGAAGGAAUACCGAUGGCGAAGGCAGCCUCCUGGCAUCAUACUGACACUGAGGUUCGAAAGCGUGGGUAGCAAACAGGAUUAGAUACCCUGGUAGUCCACGCCGUAAACGAUGUCUACUAGUCGUUGGGGAACUUGAUUCCUUAGUGACGCAGCUAACGCAAUAAGUAGACCGCCUGGGGAGUACGGCCGCAAGGUUAAAACUCAAAUGAAUUGACGGGGGCCCGCACAAGCGGUGGAGCAUGUGGUUUAAUUCGAUGCAACGCGAAGAACCUUACCUGGUCUUGACAUAUCUAGAAUCCUGCAGAGAUGCGGGAGUGCCUUCGGGAAUUAGAAUACAGGUGCUGCAUGGCUGUCGUCAGCUCGUGUCGUGAGAUGUUGGGUUAAGUCCCGCAACGAGCGCAACCCUUUUCCUUAGUUACCAGCGGUUUGGCCGGGGACUCUAAGGAUACUGCCAGUGACAAACUGGAGGAAGGCGGGGACGACGUCAAGUCAUCAUGGCCCUUACGACCAGGGCUACACACGUGCUACAAUGGUAGGUACAGAGGGCAGCUACACAGCGAUGUGAUGCGAAUCUCAAAAAGCCUAUCGUAGUCCAGAUUGGAGUCUGCAACUCGACUCCAUGAAGUCGGAAUCGCUAGUAAUCGCGGAUCAGAAUGCCGCGGUGAAUACGUUCCCGGGCCUUGUACACACCGCCCGUCACACCAUGGGAGUUGAUUGCACCAGAAGUGGGUAGCCUAACUUUUAGAGGGCGCUCACCACGGUGUGGUCGAUGACUGGGGUGAAGUCGUAACAAGGUAGCCGUAGGGGAACCUGCGGCUGGAUCACCU
rnacentral:rRNA from 1 species